CAGCCGCCGCGGGAAUACGGAGGGUGCAAGCGUUAAUCGGAAUUACUGGGCGUAAAGCGCACGCAGGCGGUCUGACAAGUCAGAUGUGAAAUCCCCGGGCUUAACCUGGGAACUGCAUUUGAAACUGUCAGGCUGGAGUCUUGUAGAGGGGGGUAGAAUUCCAGGUGUAGCGGUGAAAUGCGUAGAGAUCUGGAGGAAUACCUGUGGCGAAGGCGGCCCCCUGGACAAAGACUGACGCUCAGGUGCGAAAGCGUGGGGAGCAAACAGGAUUAGAUACCCGUGUAGUCCCUGUCUCUUAUAC
rnacentral:rRNA from 1 species